rnacentral:misc_RNA from 1 species
GAUGAAGAACGCAGCGAAAUGCGAUAAGUAAUGUGAAUUGCAGAAUUCAGUGAAUCAUCGAAUCUUUGAACGCACAUUGCGCCCGUUAGCAUUCUAGCGGGCAUGCCUGUCCGAGCGUCAUUUCAACCCUCAGGGUCCCCGUUCCGGCGGGGAACCUGGUGUUGGGGAUCGGCCCGCCCCGUGCGGCGCCGUCCCCCAAAUUCAGUGGCGGUCUCGCUGCAGCCUCCCCUGCGUAGUAGUUACAACCUCGCAUCGGAGCUCAGCGCGGCCACGCCGUAAAACCCCCGACUUUCUGAACGUUGACCUCGGAUCAGGUAGGAAUACCCGCUGAACUUAAGCAUAUCAUAAGCGGAGGA